rnacentral:tRNA from 1 species
GUUUUAGUAGUUUAAACUUAAAACUUUGGUCUUGUAAACCAAAAAUGAAAUUUAUUUUCCUAAAACU